rnacentral:rRNA from 1 species
AACUAUAACGGUCCUAAGGUAGCGAAAUUCCUUGUCGGGUCAGCUCCGACCCGUACGAACGGCGUAACGAUUUCGGCCCUGUCUCAACGUGAGACUCGGGGAAAUCAUAGUUCCUGUGAAGAUGCAGGAUACCCGCGACAGGACGGACAGACCACGGGGAGGUUUCCUGUAGCAUGAUAUUGAAACUCGGCACAGCUUGUACAGGAUAGGUAGGAGCCUUUGAAACGUGAGCGCUAGCUUACGUGGAGGCGCUGGUGGGAUACUACCCUAGCUGUGUUGGCUUUCUAACCCGCACCACUUAUCGUGGUGGGAGACAGUGUCAGGCGGGCAGUUUGACUGGGGCGGUCGCCUCCUAAAGAGUAACGGAGGCGCUCAAAGGUUCCCUCAGAAUGGUUGGAAAUCAUUCAUAGAGUGUAAAGGCAUAAGGG